UCGGGUGUAGUGUAUGGAACACACUCCUUCAUCGUGAGCAUAUUGACCAUCAUCGAUUAAGGGGAAACCCAGGUUCGAUUCUUGGCGCCCGAU